rnacentral:rRNA from 1 species
GGGAAAAAUUGGGACGAUUAGCCAUGCGAGUCGAGAGGGUUCGGCCCUCGGCAGACGGCUCAGUAACACGUGGAUCAUUUGCCCUUAGGUGGAGGAUAACCUCGGGAAACUGAGAAUACUACUCCAUAGAUCUAAGAUGCUGGAAUGCACUUAGAUUAAAAGCUACGGCGCCUAAGGAUGAGUCUGCGGACUAUCAGGUAGUAGUCGGGGUAAAGGCCUGACUAGCCUACGACGGAUACGGGUUGUGAGAGCAAUAACCCGGAGACGAUAUCUGAGACACGAUAUCGGGCCCUACGGGGCGCAGCAGGCGCGAAACCUUCACAAUGUGCGAAAGCACGAUGAGGGGAUCCCAAGUGCUUGCUCGUAAGAGUAAGCUGUUUUUAUGUAUAAAAAGCAUAGAGAGUAAGGGCUGGGUAAGACGGGUGCCAGCCGCCGCGGUAAUACCUGCAGCUCAAGUGGUGACCGCUAUUAUUGGGCCUAAAACGUUCGUAGCCGGUUUGGUAAAUGCCUGGGUAAAUCGUGUAGCUUAACUAUACGAAUUCCGGGUAGACUGCUAAACUUGAGACCGGGAGAAGCUAGAGGUACUCCUGGGGUAGAGGUGAAAUUCUGUAAUCCUGGGGGGACCACCAGUGGCGAAGGCGUCUAGCUAGAACGGGUUUGACGGUGAGGAACGAAGCCCUGGGGCGCAAACCGGAUUAGAUACCCGGGUAGUCCAGGGUGUAAACGCUGCUUGCUUGAUGUUAGGUGGGCUCCGAGCCCAAUUAGUGUCGGAGAGAAGUUGUUAAGCAAGCUGCCUGGGAAGUACGAUCGCAAGAUUGAAACUCAAAGGAAUUGACGG